rfam:Hordeum vulgare subsp. vulgare, WGS project CAJW01000000 data, contig: morex_contig_159489
GCUAGGAAGAGUAAGAUAGAGAGAGCAUAAGAGUAGUGGGAAUGAGAACAUGGAGGAAACCAUAACUUAUUGGUAUCCAUGUCUUUUCUUGAGGUAGAAAUCAAGUUUGGUGUUUCCCGAUGCCUCUCAUUCCUAUUAUUCUUAUGCGCUCCUUCCUCUUCCUUUUUGUU